rnacentral:lncRNA from 1 species
UUGAAGUUAAUUCCGAAGAAUUUUAGUUUUGUUAUUAUAUAGGUUUACGGAAAUUACAUUAUUAAGUUCUGCAUUACAUUAUUAAGUUCUGCAUCCAUGCAUUGGGACUUAGGCCCUGCAUUACAUAUUUUACAUUGCUUAAUUUUAUUAGAAAGCAGAGGUAAUGGACGAUCACGCUUCGGCCUUUCCAACUCUGCAAUCCUUUAUGAACACAAAGGCCUUUGCGUUCUCUGUGAGAACCAAACGCCUAUAUCCACUUUCAUUGACGAUGCCUACAUUAUGGCAAGUAAACGUCUCUCCAUAAGGACAGAACACUAGCUUAUACGAGCUCCCGAGAGACUUAAUUUGAAACCAGCUGUUAACGUCGAGGGGAUUUGCCAACUUUGCACCUGUGCUUAUAGUGUAGUGCUCCGCGGGUUUAGGGUAGUGGUCGACUUUCCACACGGUUAGGUUAGCACACUUUAUAUAAUCAAGAUAGAAAUUGAUGUUUAACGAAGCAGACUCCACAAUCUGCUGAUGUUUGGGCUCUUUAGGUUUAAAAUAAACGGCGAUACCUUCGUCGGUAUCACGAGGGGAUUGCACAACUGAUGUGAGACAAGUGUUUUCUUCUUGACCUCCGAGAUUAGCAAGGCGCACACCACCACCGCCGGCACCGUUGAAGGCCGAAACAAUAAAGUAUCUAGCGUUUUUGUCGAGGGGAUGACCCUUCAAAUCUUUUACAACUCUCAAUAGUUGAUUGGGAAUAUCAGUAGAGCAAGUUGCCAAGGCUGAAAAGGGAAGGAAUGCAAGGGAAAGAAAGAGUAAGACGGUCUUCAUCUUUUGUUUCUUGGGUUGGAUUUAUGGAAUUUAAUUUGUUUUGGAUGCUUUAUUGCUCUUGCUUACCUCUUGAAUUUAUAGAGGAGAUGUACCAUGAUUUUGCUCUAGUGUGAACCACGUGGGUUUAAUUGUGGCAUUAUUGGUGCGAUCUUUUAUUGUACUAAAAUUGUGGGAAAUUAAAGAGAAGCUAUUCAUAAAAUAUUAGGGAGGUUUUAGACCUUCUUGGCCUUUAACAAUGUUGAAUUUAAGAAAAUAUCUUUUUUAGAUCUCUUAUGUGUAACUAAAAUAUGAGAGCUGCGAAGAUCUAAUAAGAAAAGAAAAGUUUCUUGUAUUUGUUCGCUGAACCUAGUAAGUUUACAGUAAGUAAGUUAUAGAUAUGUAAUGAAAUACUUAAUACAUAUAAUAUAUAGAGUUUGAGCAAAAAGUAAUGAAUUCACCUAAAUUUAUUGCGUAUUCACCAUUGAGUACAUGAGAUAGGGAACUUAAUUAUGUCUAAGUUUUUUUUGGUUUUCCAUCAUCAGUAUCCGCAUUGGGGUUGGACUAAAUCUAAAUUUGUAUUGAGAAGCCUCAUAUUGAGAGAGUAAAGUGCUCCCUAAGGAUACUCUAUAUAUGUAGGGUUCGAACUCGAAAUCUAUGGUUAAAGAUGAAAAAGUAUUUAUCACUCUACACAACUUUUGAUGAUAAUUAUGUUUAAGUUAUCUACCCAAAAAGAAGAAGAAAAAAUUGUGUAAAAAAAGUGAGUCACUACCAACAUGAUACAUCCCGACAUUUCUUGGAAUAAAAACGAAAUUCCAACAAAACAAACGAAUAAAGGCGAAGACACUACUAGAAAUUCGGCAAAAACCGAUCAAGGUCGACCGACCAAUUUUGAUCGGUCAAAAAAACCAACCAAAAAAUCGAUCAAAGUUGGUCGGUUUUUUAAAAUAUUUUACUUUUUAAUUUUAUUUUACGAAACCGACCAAUUUAGGUCGGUUUUCUUUAGCGCAAAAAUCCGGAAAACUAUUUUUGAGUCCCGCGAAAUUUAUUUUUCAAGAAACCGAUCAAAUUUGAUCGAUUUUUCAAUUAAAAUAAAUAAAAAUUAAUAUUAAAAAAACCGACCAAAAUUGGUCGGUUAAUUCGGCCGGUCAUUUAAAACAACCGACCAACUUUGGUCGGUAAUUUUACUUUUUAAUAAAACCGACCAACUUUUAUGUUUGGGCUCUUUAGGUUUAAAAUAAACCGCGAUACCAUCGUCAGUUGCACAACUGAUGUGGGACAAGUGUUUUCUUCUUGACCUCCGAGAUUAGCAAGGCGCACACCACCACCGCCGGCACCGUUGAAGGCCGU